AUUGAACGCUGGCGGCAGGCCUAACACAUGCAAGUCGAGCGGGGUUUUCGGACCUAGCGGCGGACGGGUGAGUAAUGCGUAGGAAGCUGCCCGACAGAGGGGGAUACCAGUUGGAAACGACUGUUAAUACCGCAUAAUGUCUACGGACCAAAGUGUGGGACCUUCGGGCCACAUGCUAUCGGAUGCGCCUACGUGGGAUUAGCUAGUUGGUGAGGUAAUGGCUCACCAAGGCGACGAUCGCUAGCUGGUUUGAGAGGAUGAUCAGCCACACUGGAACUGAGACACGGUCCAGACUCGUACGGGAGGCAGCAGUGGGGAAUAUUGGACAAUGGGCGCAAGCCUGAUCCAGCCAUGCCGCGUGGUUGAAGAAGGCCUUCGGGUUGUAAAGCACUUACAGCGAGGAGGAAGGGUGGUGUGUUGAUAGCACAUCAUGUUGACGUGACUCGCAGAAGUAGCACCGGCUAACUCUGUGCCAGCCGCCGCGGUAAAAC
rnacentral:rRNA from 1 species